rnacentral:rRNA from 1 species
CCUACGGGUGGCAGCAGUGAGGAAUAUUGGUCAAUGGCCGGGAGGCUGAACCAGCCAAGUCGCGUGAGGGAAGACGGCCCUACGGGUUGUAAACCUCUUUUGUCAGGGAGCAAGGUGCAGGUCGGGACCUGCUGUGAGAGUACCUGAAGAAAAAGCAUCGGCUAACUCCGUGCCAGCAGCCGCGGUAAUACGGAGGAUGCGAGCGUUAUCCGGAUUUCUUGGGUUUAAAGGGUGCGCAGGCGGAGGCACAAGUCAGCGGUAAAAUCGCGGGGCUCAACCCCGCUCCGCCGUUGACACUGUGUCCGUUGAGUGCGCGAAGGGUAGGCGGAAUGCCUGGUGUAGCGGUGAAAUGCAUAGAUAGCACGAAGAACACCGAUCGAGAAGGCGGCCUCCGGGCGAGCAACUGACGCUCAGGCACGAAAGCGUGGGUAUCGAACAGGAUUAGAGACCCCAGUAGUG